rnacentral:rRNA from 1 species
CCUACGGGUGGCAGCAGUGAGGAAUAUUGGUCAAUGGGCGAGAGCCUGAACCAGCCAAGUCGCGUGAGGGAGUACUGCCCUAUGGGUUGUAAACCUCUUUUGUCGGGGAGCAAAAGCCGGACGUGUCCGGCUGUGAGAGUACCCGAAGAAAAAGCAUCGGCUAACUCCGUGCCAGCAGCCGCGGUAAUACGGAGGAUGCGAGCGUUAUCCGGAUUUAUUGGGUUUAAAGGGUGCGCAGGCGGAUUUUUAAGUCAGCGGUAAAAUCGUGGGGCUCAACCCCAUCCAGCCGUUGAAACUGGGGAUCUAGAGUGUGCGAGAGGUAUGCGGAAUGCGUGGGGUAGCGGUGAAAUGCAUAGAUAUCACGCAGAACCCCGAUUGCGAAGGCAGCAUACCGGUGCACAACUGACGCUCAGGCACGAAAGCGUGGGUAUCGAACAGGAUUAGAUACCCCUGUAGUC